CUGAGAAUGAGGUUCGCAUAUCUAUUUCUCCAGUUGGAGCCUGAAGCCUGAAACCGCUCUAUUUUCGCGCCUCCUCAAAAUCUCCUCCGCUACUUUUCUCUCGCAUUUCCGUCGGAAUUUUGUGGAGAGAACAUCGAGAGAGAGCUAGCCCUGUACUGUUGAUGUUCAUGGCGUUGCAAGCAGCGAUUUCGAGGAAGGUUUUAGACCAGAGCGGCCUGAGAUGCUUCGUCGUCGGAGCUAGAUCCAUGUCGUCUUGGUGGAAGAGCGUAGAGCCGGCUCCGAAAGAUCCGAUUCUUGGCGUUACUGAAGCUUUCUUGGCCGAUCCAAGUCCUAACAAAGUCAAUGUUGGAGUAGGUGCAUAUCGAGACGAUAACGGAAAGCCGGUGGUCCUCGAAUGUGUGAGGGAAGCUGAACGGAGGAUCGCAGGAAACCUGAAUAUGGAAUAUCUUCCAAUGGGAGGGAGUAUAAAGAUGGUGGAAGAAACACUGAAGCUGGCUUAUGGGGAGAAUUCUGACUUAAUCAAAGAUAAGAGGAUAGCAGCUAUACAAUCUCUCUCUGGAACCGGAGCAUGUCGAAUUUUUGCUGACUUUCAAAAGCGUUUCCUUCCCGAAUCCCAAAUCUAUAUACCAGUCCCUACAUGGGCUAAUCACCAUAACAUCUGGAGAGAUGCACAAGUUCCUCAAAGGACAUACCAUUACUAUCAUCCAGAGUCUAAGGGAUUAGACUUUUCUGCAUUCAUGGAUGACAUUAAGAACGCUCCAAAUGGUUCAUUCUUUCUACUUCACGCAUGUGCUCACAAUCCGACUGGAGUGGAUCCCACGGAGGAACAAUGGAAAGAGAUAUCAAACCAGUUUAAGGUAAAAGGUCAUUUUGCAUUUUUUGACAUGGCAUACCAAGGUUUUGCUAGUGGUGAUCCAGAAAAAGAUGCAAAGUCCAUCAGGAUCUUUCUUGAGGAUGGCCAUCAUAUCGGAAUUGCUCAGUCAUAUGCUAAAAAUAUGGGACUCUAUGGCCAGAGAGUAGGAUGUCUUAGUGUGGUAUGCGAAGAUGAAAAACAAGCAGUCGCUGUUAAAAGUCAGCUGCAGCAGCUUGCUCGACCGAUGUACAGUAAUCCACCUGUUCAUGGUGCAUUGGUAGUUUCAAUCAUCCUUGGGGAUCCAGACUUAAAGAAGUUAUGGCUGAAAGAAGUUAAGGUCAUGGCGGAUCGAAUCAUUGGUAUGCGAACUGCUCUACGAGAAAACCUUGAAAAGUUGGGAUCACCAUUGUCUUGGGAACAUAUAACCAAACAGAUUGGGAUGUUCUGUUACAGUGGAUUGACGCCCGAACAGGUGGACCGUUUGACAAAUGAAUAUCACAUUUACAUGACUAGAAAUGGCCGCAUAAGCAUGGCAGGUGUUACAACCGGUAACGUACCAUAUCUGGCAAACGCCAUUCAUGAGGUGACAAAAUCUGUUUAAUUGAUUGCGGCUUACAAAUUUGCUUUACAAAAUGAUACGCUACGGGAGAGUUUCUGCCUGGCGAAUAAAGACUCCAUAUGUGGAAAUUUCCUGAAUGGUUGGUUUUCAGAGACCGCAGGCCUCGCUAGCUUCACAACAUAUGCUAGAUAAACUUGUACUUUCAUAGCUUCGAGUUGAUCUAUGUAACUGCAUGAUGAGGGAAUGCAAGUCCGGUCUGCCGCCGAACAUGCUCUGGUAUGAGCCUCUUUAUCAGUUCAGUGCCGUUGGAUGGAAUGUCAACUCUCAAAUAGUUCAAAACUCAUUUUCUACUCAAAUGUUGAAGAGCCCGGGGCAACUGACGACCAGUAGGAAGGCGUGCAUUAGGCUCCCGAAGCUCAUCAAAGAAAGGAUGUGCACACGCUUCAAGCUGCCCAUGGGGGAUUAUAGUUGUGCACCGGAGACCAGGUGAAUAUUGAAGAAGCCUUGAAGCAAGAUCUAUUGCUUCAGGUGGCAUUCGUUUGUGGAAGACCUAAAUGGAUAUUGUGUAAAUGUAUUAGUUAUAGUAAAAUUGCAAAAGUGAGUUAAAUCAA